GAUGAACGCUGGCGGCGUGCCUAAUACAUGCAAGUCGAGCGAACAGACGAGGAGCUUGCUCCUCUGACGUUAGCGGCGGACGGGUGAGUCACACGUGGAUAACCUACCUAUAAGACUGGGAUAACUUCGGGAAACCGGAUCUAAUACCGGAUAAUAUAUUGAACCGCAUGGUUCAAUAGUGAAAGACGGUUUUGCUGUCACUUAUAGAUGGAUCCGCGCCGCAUUAGCUAGUUGGUAAGGUAACGGCUUACCAAGGCAACGAUGCGUAGCCGACCUGAGAGGGUGAUCGGCCACACUGGAACUGAGACACGGUCCAGAGUCCUACGGGAGGCAGCAGUGGGGAAUCUUCCACAAUGGGCGAAAGCCUGACAGAGCAACGCCGCGUGAGUGAUGAAGGUCUUCGGAUCGUAAAACUCUGUUAUUAGGGAAGAACAAAUGUGUAAGUAACUAUGCACGUCUUGACGGUACCUAAUCAGAAAGCCACGGCUAACUACGUG
rnacentral:rRNA from 1 species